rnacentral:hammerhead_ribozyme from 1 species
AUCCAGUUGAUGAGUCUCAAAUAGGACGAAACGCGCGUCAAACUGUAU